rnacentral:tRNA from 2 species
GCGAGAGUGGCGGAAUUGGUAGACGCACUGGAUUUAGGUUCCAGCGCCGCGAGGCGUGAGAGUUCGAGUCUCUCCUUUCGCACCA